AGAAGGAACAACCUAGUGAAGCAGGGCUGCUAACUUUGCUUUGGGUAAAUAGGCCUACCCUCUUUCUU
rnacentral:tRNA from 1 species